AAAGUACUCCCUCUGUUCGAAAAAGUUUGUCCCUUAAAUGAAUGUAUCUAGCACCAAGUUAGAGCUAGAUACAUCCAUUUGAGGGAUAAGCUUGUGACAAGGUUAUUUGGACGGAGGGAGUAGCAU
rfam:Triticum aestivum genome assembly, contig: Triticum_aestivum_CS42_TGACv1_scaffold_457184_5DS